CAUUCAUCCUUCUUCUCGCGCGUCCAAUCUCCGCCUCUUCAUGUCAAAUUCAAAUCCCUCCAAAUCCAAAUCUCGUCAAUCCAAAUCGCACUACCCUCUACCAAAUUUGCCUUCUUCCAGUCAAUCCAUAUCCGCAUGUUCAGUUUUUUGCCCUUUCUUCUCGUCAAUCCAAUUUUGCCUCUAUUGCACGAACUUGUCUUUCAUACAGUUGGCGAUCGAAGCUCCUACAUAUCGUUGUUGCUUGUGUCAUCGUCGAUCUUGGUUUCAUAUGAUAAAGACAAACCAAAUGAACAUACUGAUUAGGUUUCUUAAGCUAUGCUUAAGAAACAGAAGGGUGAGUCCAGUUUGAAAGAUGCGAAGGGUACAGCUGCAAAUGAAGCUUCUAGAAAGAGGUUUUCAAUGUCCUAAAAUGGCUGGUGUCUUUGUUUCACACAUGCAUGCAUGUAUGAUCUCCCUACUAUCUGUUAUCAGGCCUGCUGAAAGACAAUCGUAUGGUAGGGCUUCAACCAAGAAGCCAGUGACAAGCACUCAAGUUGCUUCUCAACAAGGACAAUGUUCAAAGCUAGACCAUAUGGAAGUUUUUUGACAAUUUUUUAUUAAAUAGGUACUUGAAGAUACAAGUCGAGCAGGGAACUCUUGGUAUUGGUUGCGACUAUAAUACAUGGAUUUUAAUGACACUUGUAACAAUUUUUUUAUUUUGAUUAUAGGGGGAGAGAUUAGGAUAAUAUGAAACCCAUAGUUUUUUUUUUUUUUUUUCAUUUUUAUGAUUGUGGACAUAUGGAAGUUCUUAAGAUGAUUGUAAUUAGUACAUAAUUAAUGUCAAUGAUCAU